CCCAAGGUGCUUGACUCUGUGCUCCCUCCUUGCUCAGACUUCCUGGUCCCACUAAACUCAAUCCACUUCCCAUCCCACUUCCUGUGCUUCUUCUCUUUUCUCCAUCCAUUGCCACUUGGCAAGGGAAAAACAACACAUUUUUCUAUGAUUUCCUCACCAAUGCAAGAAGUUUAUGUGUAGCACACAUUUACUGAAGAUUGAAAUAACUUUUGAAAUAGUUUUACAAUGCCAAGCGGUACAGAAAACAGUUUAAAAUAAAGCAUUUCUCUUCUUCAAGCCUCUUCAAAAAAAAUAUGAAGUAAAUGUGGUGAAAGUUGAUGAAGUCUAACACUAGAUGGUUACAUAGGAUUAAUUAUUCCAUUUUUGCUAUUUUUAUUUAAGUUAUAAAGUUUUCAUAACAAGAGUUUUUUAAAAAAUACACUAGUCAUGGGGCCAUGGAAGCUAUCUUGCCGUCUGUAUGAGGGUAAAAGCAGAACUGCCGUGAUGAAGAGCCUUCAGAAUACAGAGACGACCGAUGUAGGCCUUUAUUUCAUUCUCGCAUUAUUUCGCUCUUGAGGUGAGUAGCCGGACGGAUGAGAUGACUCCACAUGGUCAUGCAGGGAUCCGAGCUCCUUCCAUCUUGUUUCACUGCUUUCCCCCAGGGCCUUACCCUCAACUGCACCGUCAGAGCUGGGCUGCAGGUAAGUCUGAGUUCCCAUUCACAGAUGAGACAGAGUGGAAAUGCAGGGCAGUCACAUUUCUUUCUAAGCAAGUGAACAGAAGUUGCAUACAUCACUUCCACUCACAUUCCAUAGUCCACGACCACCUGACCACCAAGGUGACUGGGAAAUGCAGCCUCUGGCUAGGUGGCCAUGUGUCCCGCUAAAGGCUAUUCUUCUGGAAGAAAGGAAAAGGCUUCUGGCGCACACCUAGCAGGCCCCACCACACUGUCUCCCUCCCUCCACAGGAUCCCCAGCUUCCCUCCAUGGGAUGGGGCUUCUGUGUUCCCUCAGCCGUGUCUUAUCCCAAACUUCUCAAUUUCUAUGUGAUACCUGUUUGUUAUGGGCUGAAUUUGUGUCCUCCCAAAAUUCCUAUGUUGAAGUCCUGAGCCCCACUACCUCACAAUGUGACUGUAUUUGGAGAUAGAGUCUUUUUUUAAGCAGUUUUACUGAGGUAUAAUUGAUAUACAAAAAAACCCUGCACAUAUUUAACGUAUAUAAGUUGAUGGGUUUGAAUAUAUGCAUAUGUAUGUGAAACCACUGUCACAAUCAAGGUAAUAAACCUGUCCAUCACUUCCAAAAAUGUCCGCCUUGUCCUCUCCUUUUGUGUGUGUGUGUGCUAAGAAUACUUAACUUGAGGACUGCCCUCUUAACUAAUUUCUCAGGGAACAUGACGAUAGUGUUAAUUACAGGCACUAUGCUGUACAGCAGAUCUCUAGAAUUUACUCAUCUUUAUAACUGAAACUAUAUACCCAUUAAACAACAACUGUCCUUUUCCCCUCCCCCAGCCCCCGGUAACCACCAUUCUCUGCUCUGCUUCUAUGAGUGUGACUAUUUUAGAUGCUUUAUGUAAGUGGGAUCAUAAUGAGAUACCGCCUCACACCUGUUAGGAUGGCUAUCAUCAAAAAAAACACAAAAGACAAGUGUUGGCAACAAUGUGGAGAAAUUGAAACCCUGUAUGUUGUUGAUGGGAAUGUAAAAUGGUGCAGCUGUUAUGGGAAACAGCAUGGAGGUUCCCCCCAAAAAUAAAAAUAGAACUACCAUGGGAUCCAGCAACCCCACUUCUGGGUAUGCACCCAAAAGAACUGAUAUCAGGAUCUCAAAGAGAUGUCUGCUGGCCCAUAUUCACUAAAGCAUUAUUCACAAUAGUCAAAAUAUAGAAACAACCUAAAGGUCCACUGAGGCAUGAAUGCAUAAAGGAAACGUGGCACAUACACAGAAUGGAAUUAUUCAGCCUGUAAAAAGAAGGAAAUCAUACCACAUGUGACAACCAAAUUCCGGUUCAUAUGGAUGAACCCGGAGGACAUCAUGCUAAGUGACAUCAGCCAGUCACAGAAGAAGAUGGGGUCUUUGAAGGAGUAAUUAAGUAAACACGAGGUCACCGCAGUGGGCCCUAAUCCAAUAUUAAUGGUGUCCUUUUAAGAAAAGGAGAGUAGGACACAGACACACACAAAAGAAAAGCCACGGGAAGACACAGGGAGAAGGUGGCCUCCAUGAGCCAGAGAGGCCUCAAAAGAAACCCGCCGCGCCAGCACCCUGACCUCGGACUGCUAACCUCUCCAACGGUGAGAAAGUAGAUCUCGGUUGAUUAAGGCGCCCAGUCUGCUUUACUCCGGGGUGGCAGCCCUGGCAAACGAAACCACCGCUCAUUUUAAUGCAGAACAGCCUUAUUCUCCCCUCCACCGCGCCAGCUCCUGACAGCCCCGCUUGGUAAAUCCUUAACCUCAUUAAGGCUCUCCUCUGAACAAAGGGCCGUUGUCUCAGGACGUCUGCCCGUGAGCGGCACAGGGUCCCCUCAGAGGCUGGGAAAUUCAUUUUUCUUUGAACAAGAUCAAACUCUUUGGCACACCAGUCUCCGUGAGCUGGAAGGUAGCAGGAGAAAGGUCUAUUCUCCCUUCCUAAGAAAUGUCACUUCUUAAGAAGCUGGAAGCGUCUACAGCCAGAUUUUCCUUUGUUCGCGUCAAACGGCGGUUUCCGCCUUCCCAGCGCCUCCGCACGCGGUCCUCGGCGGUCCCCUCGGGGUCACUGAGAGCUUCCUGCGCCGGCCCCCGGGCCGCCUUCCAGCGGGACGACAGGCAUUAAAAUGUAAGCAGAACAAUACAGUAUACACUGCUAAUUCCAAAAGACCGUAAGGGAAGAAACAGGCACUGUGGCAGGAACAGGGCGGGCGGGAUUAGGCCCCACAGUUCCCCGAGGAGGGAACGCCACGCAAACGCGCAGGCCGAGGAGCCAGCAGGCCCGGCGGCACCUCGGGCGGCGCUUCCCGCAGGGCUUCGGGGGCUUUCCGGGGCCAUUUUUGCUCUGUUCAAAAGAAAUGAGGCCCCACGUUGGUGUGGGCCACGGGCACACGGCGGCGGAGGGAGAAAUGAAACCGCUCGGCGCGCUCACGGUCCAGCGGAAAGAGAGAAAAGCCCACGUGAAGCAGCGAAGGCCCGCGGCGGCCGCGGGAAGAGCCGCCGCGGCGGGGAGGCGCUCCUCCGUCUCGGGCAGGGAAGGCUUUGCUGAGGAAAUAACAUUUGAAGAUGUUUUCCCUUCUUUUCCUUUUUUUAAAAAAAGACGGGCAGAUAUCUUCUCUCGGAGAGCCUGAGGGGAGCCGUGCGGCGUCUGCGGACGGGCGCAGCCGAGGGCGCCGCCGAGCGGCCAUCGCGGGGAUCCGGUCCUCCGGGAGACGGCGUGUCACUGAGGGUUCUGAGCAGAGGAGGGAUGUGCUGGAUUUAUGUUCUACUGCGCGGAAAAUAGUGUAUGGGCGGCUGGCGUGGAGGCGGGGAGAGCCCUGGGAGCCUCGCGAUGAGCCGGGGCAGGGGCGCGGGUGGGCGGCGUGGGGCUGCUGUGCAGGGGAAGCUGCCGGCUCUCCACACCUUCUGGCGCUGACGCUGGAAGGACUCGUCGAAGGGAUGCGUGUAGGAUGUGAGUGAGACGGAUCCACGAUGACUUCGAGGUUUGGCCUGAGUGACCAAAGGAUGGAGUCGCCGUGUACGGAGCUGGAUGGGGCCGCGGGUCUCCUGCAGUCUUGUGUGCGUUCAGUGCUGCUCGUCUCCGGGGGAACCACUGCGGACAGGUCCGGGCGGAAGACAGCGCCAUGAACUUUGUGAAGGGUUUAGUAAUGAAACUGAGACCAAGUGGACCAAGAAGCGGUCCCAGGUCCACCGAGUCGAAAGUGGCAGAGACUCUCCAGACUCAGGGAGUCCAUUCGGCUCUCAGGUUCACUGUCUGCGCUGGGCCACAUUCUUUGCCCAGCUGUGUUCUCUGUGCUUCCAUGGCCCAGCCCAGCCCCUCCCUGCUGUUCCCAGAUCAUUGUGAGACAUACGCUGAGGCACAGCCUGCUGUGGAGGAGGCAACCGCCAACUCUUCAUCUCCAGGCCCUUCCGGUCUCUUGACAUCUCUACCGAGUUGUAAACUCAGGUAUCAGGUUAAACUUCGAGUUUAGAAUUUAUCAACUGUAAACUAGCUCCUCUCCCACUCUUUCCCAUUUCUGCGAUGGCAUGAUGAUUUUCCCCAUCAGCUGGGCUUGACGCUUAGAAGUCUCUCUUGUCUCACACCCAUGGCGGUCUAAGAUCUACGUGCCUCGUGUCUCCCACAGCCUUUCCUACAAUCCAAGGUCACUGCUCUGUCACGGCCUUCAUGACCUCUCUCCUCUCUCCUGGAUUCCAGCAGUAACCUCCUGUUUCCCAUCCCAUCUCAAUCACCCUCCUAUCCAUCCCGUGUAUCUCUCCCAGAUUAAUUUUUUCUAAAGCUCAGCUCUAGUCAUGUCACAUUACUCCUUAAAAACUGUCAGUGUUUUCCUGGUGCUGACAAAAUAAAUGCAAAUCCUCACGCUCCUGUUGAACCCCCACCCAAUUUUGCUUCUCAUCUGCAGUCGCCCUGUGGAAUCCAUAGAAGACUCUGUGCAUACAAACAGUAAAGUGCUCCUAUACACUACUUCCUUUGACUUUUCCAUCUCAGGACUUUUCCGUGUCCAUGCAUUUGCUGACCUGGAUGCCUUACUCUUAUCCCUCCACCUCUGCUGCCAUUUGGAAUCCUACGUAUCAUCCAAGAUUUAUCUCAAAUCCUAUCUCCUCCAUGAAGGAAUUUGCCGGGGACCCCCAGCUUGAAGGCUCUCUUCUUCUUUUCAGCCUCUUAACAUAUACCUCUCUUGUGGUAUUUAUCAGGACACUUAUAGUUUGGUUAUUUCUCUUCUUAUGUAGUGGAUAUGAGUUUACAACUACAAAUUCAGAUGGUCAAUAAAUGUCAACUCAAAAACCGUAUAUCUGACUCUGAGUCCCGGUACCUCCAGAUUAGUGGAAAAGUCAAUCUUCCGUAGGGAUGAAUGAGAAUUUGAGAAGCCUACAUGGUGUCCCACGGAGGGAUAGGAAAGAGUGUCACCAGCCUUGAGUUUCUAGCCUGUUGUUUGGUCUCAUUAUCCAAGCCUUCACUGUUCCUUGAAGGGAGCCCGCUGGCUGGGACGUCGCCUCUCUUCAUGGUCUGCUCUUCCCGUUGAAGUUCUGUCCUCCUGUUUAUGGCACUGUUGGAAGCAGGGACAAGCUCCUGCUACUCCUGGAUUCAGCUGAAUUCUGUUCCCUUUCCAUUGGGUGAAAUUUUUCCCCUCUUUUGGCUCUGAAAGACACUCCUUUUUCCCUGCAUCUUCUUACCAGAUAACUAAUAUUUUCACAAAAGUCACAAAGCCUUCUGCAAAAGAUAGGAGAGAUUGUCGUCCUGUAUUUCUGCCUUCUGCCCUGAGAGACAAACCUUCCUGGGGCAAAGGAGCCAAAUGAGCCCGGCAAUCUUCUUAGCCUGCAGGAGGCUGAAAAAUCACGGGGAACAGAAAACAAGUUCUUAUCUGGGUCAGGACUCCUGCUACACUCGUCUAAGUCACCUGAUGACAGCAGGAGCCUCUCUCUUGUUCCUAUCAUUGCAGCCUGUGCACACUGCAAAGGUGUCCGCUUUAAUAAAUGGGCAGAACUCAGGAGGACUCGCUCAGGAAACGUGCAUUGUUUGCCUUGUUUUGUUUUUCCUCUACUGCUACCCUCAAACCUCCCAGUUGGUUUUCCCUUCUCUGCCCUUGGACAGUAUCUCAGGCUAAUCCCUUGGCUUUACCUGUCACUUCCAAGUAGUAGAAGAACACUCUUCUCUCCAGUAAUUAGGAAACGACUCACGUCAGACUUGCUCUCUCAUCUGGUUCGAAGCCUCUUCCGUUUCCUUUGCUCAUGCCUAACCUGUGCUCAGAACCCUGGCUUCAGGAAGGGGACUAUGGUCUCUUCUUACUCCACGUCCUCUCCUGUCCCCCAGGAUGCUGUUGACUCCUUCACCUUCGGAGCAAGGCGUGAAGAGGAGGAAAGAUGACAGGAAAAGGAGCAAAAUGUGCUUAUUCCGCCCGUGCUGUCUGAACAUCUUUCUUGGCUGUUGAGUGCCUCCUCUCAUGGAAGAAGCCCACAUGCUGGCUUGUUUUUCUUGUGAGGAAUGUUGGAGGGUUCUUUGAAGGACACUCUCAAUCCUGCCCCCAGACUUCCCUCUGCUCUCUGCUCUGCCGUGUGUAACGCACUCUGGGUAGUUCCCACGCAGCUCUUUCUCCUGUGCCCACCUUCCUUCCCUAGUGUCCACUUGUCCCGUAGAAGACACUGUGCAGGCUUGCCUCCCUCGCCCCCCACCAAAACCUAGGAAGAUCAAGCCAGUGUCCUUGUCCUGCCAUCAGGGGCUAUCGGGGGCAGCCUCUGUCUUCACUGUGUAUGCCUCCAAACUCCUGCGGCCACAUGGAGAUUCUCCAGUCUGGUAGGAGGACUAGUGCACCUCAGUGAACGUCUGUCUGGGGACUAGACGAGCUGUCUUUUUCCCCUCGUGGCAGACACCACACCCCUAGCUCUGAGAGGGUCUCUGGCUGCUUCCUUCACUUGGCUUGGGUAGAGGGACAUUCCAGAGCCCUCUCUACUGACUGACAACUCUCUUUGAAGAGAGCCUCUUUCUUCCACCAGAUUCCCGGCCUCCACUUAGACAGGCUGGAGGUGGGUGAUGUUAAGGGCCCUGUGAUCAGAUUUGGCCACUCCUAAGAAGUCCUGGGGAGGUGUGUCCAGCAUCUCUCUCUUUAGACCUCAUAGUUCUCCUUAGCUGUUGUUCUCGGCUUUGGAUUUCCACUGAAAUUCCGAGACAACAGGAGAUACCUGUUGAAUUAAAUAACCUCCAAACCCAUUCAUUUCUUCGGGCAUGUAAACAUGGAAUCGUAAUUAAAGAAAAUUACUUGUAACAAAAAAAGGAAAAUGGACUUCA
rnacentral:lncRNA from 1 species